rnacentral:rRNA from 1 species
AACGACUCUCGGCAACGGAUAUCUCGGCUCUCGCAUCGAUGAAGAACGCAGCAAAAUGCGAUACUUGGUGUGAAUUGCAGAAUCCCGUGAAUCAUCGAGUUUUUGAACGCAAGUUGCGCCCGAAGCCUUCCGGCAGAGGGCACGCCUGCCUGGGUGUCACGC